rnacentral:rRNA from 1 species
AGAGUUGAUCCUGGCUCAGGAUGAACGCUGGCGGCGUGCCUAAUACAUGCAAGUCGAACGAGGUAGCAAUACCGAGUGGCGAACGGGUGAGUAACACGUAGGUAACCUGCCCUUAAGCUUGGGAUACCCAGAGGAAACUUGGCUAAUACCGGAUAACAACAGAGAAGGCAUCUUCUUUGCUUGAAAGGCCCCUUCAAGGGUCACUUAAGGAUGGACCUGCGGCGCAUUAGCUAGUUGGUGAGAUAACAGCCCACCAAGGCGAGGAUGCGUAGCCGAACUGAGAGGUUGAUCGGCCACAUUGGAACUGAGACACGGUCCAAACUCCUACGGGAGGCAGCAGUAAGGAGUUUUCGGCAAUGGGGGAAACCCUGACCGAGCAACGCCGCGUGAGCGAUGACGGUCCUUUGGAUUUGUAAAGCUCUGUUGUAAGCCAUGAAUGACAGCUUGAGGAAAUGCAAGUUGUUUGACGACAGCUUACCAGAAAGCCACGGCUAACUACGUGCCAGCCGCAGC